UUUAAUCAACACCUGCCAGCCAAUAAGAGUCGAGUAUUCAGACAGACCAUGGCAUAAAGCGGUAUGUUCUUAUUUUUACCAGCUUCUGCAAGCGUGUAUGGCGUCUGGCUGUUGGAACCUCACUGUGACUUCAGAUAAGAACAAAGAUUAAAUUGUAAGAAGAGCUGCUUGUAAGAGCAUACGGUACAUCUGAAACUGCUGAGGCUGGGAAGGUUUUUGACUAUAUUUCCGACCAGCUGCUAUAGAAGACAAACUGAAAUCUGAGUGCAGAGACAAGCAAAGGAAUACUGCAAGGCACUUGUGCAAAAUAUUGUAUGCCAGGACGACUAGGCUGUGCCCAGGUCUCCGGAACCUGCGACGACGCUCAGCUCCAUCGGCCCUCCAUCUACAUCUUGGCUCCUCCCUCCCUCGACUCCGCCAUGUAUUGUCAGCACUGGGAUGCUCUGGGUCUGUGCCAUGUGCCAAACUCCAUCUAAGCUGCCAGGGCAUCAUCGUCAUCCUCCCAUCACCAUCCCUUCACCACAUCCUGCCAUCAUCCCGCACCUUUGCCUCUCACCAUUCCUACACCAUCUCCUCGUCCACCUCCAAAACCCCCUCCAUCCCUCCCUAUUCUGUUGCGUGAACUUAAUCAUUUUCAGUCUUUGCACACACAUCUAUUCAC